rnacentral:rRNA from 1 species
GCAACAGCGAAAGGUGCUUGCACCUUUCAAGUGAGUGGCGAACGGGUGAGUAACACGUGGACAACCUGCCUCAAGGCUGGGGAUAACAUUUGGAAACAGAUGCUAAUACCGAAUAAAACUUAGUGUCGCAUGACACAAAGUUAAAAGGCGCUUCGGCGUCACCUAGAGAUGGAUCCGCGGUGCAUUAGUUAGUUGGUGGGGUAAAGGCCUACCAAGACAAUGAUGCAUAGCCGAGUUGAGAGACUGAUCGGCCACAUUGGGACUGAGACACGGCCCAAACUCCUACGGGAGGCUGCAGUAGGGAAUCUUCCACAAUGGGCGAAAGCCUGAUGGAGCAACGCCGCGUGUGUGAUGAAGGCUUUCGGGUCGUAAAGCACUGUUGUAUGGGAAGAACAGCUAGAAUAGGAAAUGAUUUUAGUUUGACGGUACCAUACCAGAAAGGGACGGCUAAAUACGUGCCAGCAGCCGCGGUAAUACGUAUGUCCCGAGCGUUAUCCGGAUUUAUUGGGCGUAAAGCGAGCGCAGACGGUUUAUUAAGUCUGAUGUGAAAGCCCGGAGCUCAACUCCGGAAUGGCAUUGGAAACUGGUUAACUUGAGUGCAGUAGAGGUAAGUGGAACUCCAUGUGUAGCGGUGGAAUGCGUAGAUAUAUGGAAGAACACCAGUGGCGAACGCGGCUUACUGGACUGCAACUGACGUUGAGGCUCGAAAGUGUGGGUAGCAAACAGGAUUAGAUACCCUGGUAGUCCACACCGUAAACGAUGAACACUAGGUGUUAGGAGGUUUCCGCCUCUUAGUGCCGAAGCUAACGCAUUAAGUG